rnacentral:lncRNA from 10 species
CUUGCUUGUCCUGUUCUCAUCCAGUAAUUCUGUAUAUUCCCAUUAAAGCACCCUUUCAACAUGUACUGCUUCUCCCACUGCUGAAGACAGAGACUCUCUCCACUAUGUCUAUGCCUGGGAUGCUGGUCAGCAAUGGAUGAUGGACAGGGGACAGCAAGAGCUAGGACCUCAGCUAGCCUUCAACCUGGGCCACUUGGAGAGUGGGAACAUUGUGCUGGCAACUCAAGAAGAAAUGUGGUAGACAAGUGAGGUUGGUCAUGGAGUAAAACAAUUGAGGACCCAUACCUGAGCAAGGAUCAUAUAUGAUGCACAGUGAAGACAGAGUCCCUUCCUGCCCAGGCAGGAGAUCCCUCGCACCACCAGAAAGGAGCAAAGAGGAUGAGCUGUACUUGCCCAGCGUGACACGAUGCUUACCUUGAACAGAGCUUCAGGAGGUGGCCGAUCUAGAUGAAGUGAAUGACAGUCUCUGGUCCCAUCCAGGCAUGGAUCCACGUGGAGAAAACCCCCAGUGCUGUGUGCCAUGGGUGGGGUCAGGGCUGUUUGCCAGUGUCACUAACCUGACCGCUGUGUGAGUUGGGUUCACAUUCCACUCUGGGAGUCUUAAGGUGAGCAACAGCCUAUAAAUCCACAUUCCAUACCUGCCUGUCGAGGUCCAUAUCACCCACAUUUUUGCAAGCGCUCUUUUCCAACUCUUCUCUGAAAUGUAGUACCCUAAAUUCAUGGGAACUUUUGAUCCAGGUCCUGCAGUAAAGAUUAAAAAAAAAAAGUUAAUCCCUGUGUUUAUAGAGAUUAUCUGUUCUGCUCUAUUUUCCAAACUGGUAAAAAUUGUCAGAUCUAUUUAUAAAUACUGGAGUAAAAUUAGUUACUGGCUAAUUCAGGAGGAGCUUUUAACAUUAUUUAAAUAGUAGGUGAAGAUUUUGAGGCCAGAUUAAAGAAAUAAAAAGACUUUUAGUUUAAAACAUCACCCCCCCCCGCUUGUUUGUCUUUAUAGUAAACAUGUGUUUGUAGCUACCAGCUCUAUAACUUCCAGUUGUGUGAACACAAGUAAAUUGUACUUGAACUUUUUAAGCCUUCAUUUCUUCAUAAUUAAGUUGUGAAGAAUAAUAAUAACCAAACAUGGCUGUGGUAAGAAAAAAUAUCAGAUGGCAUUAUCACUGCUCUAGAAACCC